rnacentral:rRNA from 1 species
UAGGGAAUCUUCCGCAAUGGGCGAAAGCCUGACGGAGCAACGCCGCGUGAGUGAUGAAGGUCUUCGGAUCGUAAAACUCUGUUAUUAGGGAAGAACAAAUGUGUAAGUAACUAUGCACGUCUUGACGGUACCUAAUCAGAAAGCCACGGCUAACUACGUGCCAGCAGCCGCGGUAAUACGUAGGUGGCAAGCGUUAUCCGGAAUUAUUGGGCGUAAAGCGCGCGUAGGCGGUUUUUUAAGUCUGAUGUGAAAGCCCACGGCUCAACCGUGGAGGGUCAUUGGAAACUGGAAAACUUGAGUGCAGAAGAUGAAAGUGGAAUACCAUGUGUAGCGGUGAAAUGCGCAGUGAUAUGGAGGAACACCAGUGGCGAAGGCGACUUUCUGGUCUGUAACUGACGCUGGUGUGCGAAGGCGUGGGGAUCAAACAGG